CCUACGGGAGGCAGCAGUAGGGAAUAUUGCUCAAUGGGGGAAACCCUGAAGCAGCAACGCCGCGUGGAGGAUGAAGGUUUUCGGAUUGUAAACUCCUUUUGUUAGAGAAGAUAAUGACGGUAUCUAACGAAUAAGCACCGGCUAACUCCGUGCCAGCAGCCGCGGUAAUACGGAGGGUGCAAGCGUUACUCGGAAUCACUGGGCGGAAAGAGCGCGUAGGCGGGAUAGCAAGUCAGAUGUGAAAUCCUAUGGCUUAACCAUAGAACUGCAGUUGAAACGGUUAUUCUAGAGUAUGGGAGAGGUAGGUGGAAUGCUUGGUGUAGGGGUAAAAUCCGUAGAGAUCAAGAGGAAUACUCAUUGCGAAGGCGACCUGCUAGAACAUAACUGACGCUGAUGCGCGAAAGCGUGGGGAGCAAACAGGAUUAGAUACCCCUGUAGUC
rnacentral:rRNA from 1 species